rnacentral:rRNA from 1 species
CCUACGUGUGGCAGCAGUGAGGAAUAUUGGUCAAUGGGCGCGAGCCUGAACCAGCCAAGUAGCGUGAAGGAUGACUGCCCUACGGGUUGUAAACUUCUUUUAUAAAGGAAUAAAGUGAGGCACGUGUGCCUUGUUGUAUGUACUUUAUGAAUAAGGAUCGGCUAACUCCGUGCCAGCAGCCGCGGUAAUACGGAGGAUCCGAGCGUUAUCCGGAUUUAUUGGGUUUAAAGGGAGCGUAGAUGGUUUGUUAAGUCAGUUGUGAAAGUUUGCGGCUCAACCGUAAAAUUGCAAUUGAUACUGGCAGUCUUGAGUACAGUUGAGGUAGGCGGAAUUCGUGGUGUAGCGGUGAAAUGCUUAGAUAUCACGAAGAACUCCGAUUGCGAAGGCAGCUUACUAAACUGCCACUGACAUUGAUGCUCGAAAGUGUGGGUAUCAAACAGGAUUAGAUACCCUUGUAGUC